UACAGAGGUCCCAAGCGUUGUUCGGAUUCACUGGGCGUAAAGGGUGCGUAGGCGGUCGGGUAAGUCUGAUGUGAAAUCUCACAGCUUAACUGUGAAACUGCAUUGGAUACUAUCCGGCUCGAGGAAUGGAGGGGAGACUGGAAUACUUGGUGUAGCAGUGAAAUGCGCAGAUAUCAGGAGGAACACCGGUGGCGAAGGCGGUUCUCUGGGCAUUACCUGACGCUGAGGAGCGAAAGUGUGGGGAGCGAACAGG
rnacentral:rRNA from 1 species